rnacentral:rRNA from 1 species
GGGAUAACCGCUGAAAGCAUAUAAGUGGGAAGCCUCUCUAAAGAUAAGAUCUCCCUCCGCAAGGCUAAAGGCCCCGGGAAGAUUACCCGGUUGAUAGGCUACAGAUGUAAGCAUUGUAAGAUGUUCAGUCGAGUAGUACUAAUAGGCCGUGAGACUUGACCAU